rnacentral:tRNA from 1 species
UCCUGGUUAUCUCAGUUGGUAGAGCGCUCCCGUGAAAUGGAGAGGUCCCUGGUUCGAUAUCAGAACCAGGCG